CAGCAGCCGCGGUAAAACGGAGGGUGCAAGCGUUAAUCGGAAUUACUGGGCGUAAAGCGCACGCAGGCGGUCUGUCAAGUCAGAUGUGAAAUCCCCGGGCUUAACCUGGGAACUGCAUUUGAAACUGGCAGGCUAGAGUCUUGUAGAGGGGGGUAGAAUUCCAGGUGUAGCGGUGAAAUGCGUAGAGAUCUGGAGGAAUACCGGUGGCGAAGGCGGCCCCCUGGACAAAGACUGACGCUCAGGUGCGAAAGCGUGGGGAGCAAACAGGAUUAGAUACCCGCGUAGUCCAUGUCUCUUAUAC
rnacentral:rRNA from 1 species